rnacentral:rRNA from 1 species
UACGUAGGGGGCAAGCGUUGUCCGGAUUCAUUGGGCGUAAAGAGCGUGUAGGCGGCCAGGUAGGUCGGUUGUGAAAACUGGAGGCUCAACCUUCAGAGGUCGACCGAAACCAUCUGGCUAGAGUACGGGAGAGGCGAGUGGAAUUCCUGGUGUAGCGGUGAAAUGCGCAGAUAUCAGGAGGAACACCGAUUGCGAAGGCAGCUCGCUGGAACGUUACUGACGCUGAGACGCGAAAGCGUGGGGAGCAAACAGG